rnacentral:tRNA from 1 species
GGGGCUGUAGUAGAGACGGUUACAACGCCGGCCUGUCACGCCGGAGGUCGCGGGUUCGAGUCCCGUCAGCCCCGCCA